UUUCAGAGAAAGACUGGGAGGACAUCAGGAAAAUGCCAGAACAUGGCACACUGCAAAAAGACUUCAGAAAAACUAAUUAUGUCAAUGCUAGUUUAUGGAAAUAUAUGGAGAAACACAAAGUCAAACAAGAAAGCAGAGCGUUUCAACUGCUGGCCAAGUUAUUAGUAAUGGACCCAAACAAGAGAAUCACCUCCGACCAGGCUUUGCAAGACCCUUACUUCAAAGAAGAACCACUGCCAACACCAGAGUAAGUAAAAUAUACCCCUCCGAUAA